AAAGGUUAAUAAAGAAUUUAAUUUGUCCUUAAUUUUAUUUUUAUUGGCCCAAAUUUAACAACCCUUUGAAAUAUCCAACAGUUGAUGGCCCCAGUAUUAGUAUAAUCCAAGCCUGAAACGAAGUGACUUUUGCUAUAAAUACUUCUCUUCCCCCAUUGUAUUUGGCCCCAAGGAAAAGAAGUAUGGCUAAAACUAUAAUAUCCAUUUUUAUUUUUGCUAUCCUCGUAAUCUACGGCUUUCUUGUAAACGGAGAAGGUGGACAUGAAUUGGGUUCAAAACUUUCUCAUAAUAUUCUACAUGUAAGCAAAAAAUUCCGGGGAAGAUGUACUCAUGGGCCACACUACACGGCUAGGUGUAGAUUCGAUUGCGUGUCGGAGGGUUAUAAAAGUGGUGUAUGCUUCAGCUAUAAGUGUUGCUGCUUUUACAAGCUACAUCCCAACCGGUAGAGAGAAAGAUGCAAGGAGAAUAAAGGAGACAGAAAAGGGGAUCACGUCUCUUGAAGCGAAAUGUCACUAGUUUGAAUUUUUCCUCUUGUGUAAAUAUAUCAAAAAAAAAAAAAAAAAGACAGAAAAAAGAGGAAAGGGAUCGAGAGAUAUAAGGCACUACGAUUGUAAUUGUCUUACUAAAAUAAAUUGUGCACAUGGUUGGGUUUGUGAUUGCCACUAUAUAUAUAGAUAUGUGGUAAGAUGUGUAGUUUAAAGUUGUUUGUAACAAUAUGUUGUCAGAAUUACUCCAUAAUAUAAUAGAUGGUGAUACUUCUUAGAAA